UACAGAGGGGGCAAGCGUUGUUCGGAAUUACUGGGCGUAAAGGGCGCGUAGGCGGCCUGUUAAGUCGAACGUGAAAUCCCCGGGCUCAACCCGGGAACUGCGUCCGAUACUGGCAGGCUUGAAUUCGGGAGAGGGAUGCGGAAUUCCAGGUGUAGCGGUGAAAUGCGCAGAUAUCAGGAAGAACACCCGUGGCGAAAGCGGCUCUCUGGAACGGUACUGACGCUGAGACGCGAAAGCGUGGGGAGCGAACAGG
rnacentral:rRNA from 1 species